GACGAACGCUGGCGGCGUGCUCAACACAUGCAAGUCGAACGAAGAGCGAUGGAAGCUUGCUUCUAUCAAUCUUAGUGGCGAACGGGUGAGUAACGCGUAAUCAACCUGCCCUUCAGAGGGGGACAACAGUUGGAAACGACUGCUAAUACCGCAUACGAUCUAAUCUGGGCAUCGAGGAUAGAUGAAAGUUGGCCUCUACAUGUAAGCUAUCACUGAAGUAGGGGAUUGCGUCUGAUUAGCUAGUUGGAUGGGUAACGGCCCACCAAGGCGAUGAUCAGUAGCCGGUCUGAGAGGAUGAACGACCACAUUGGGACUGAGACACGGCCCAGACUCCUACGGGAGGCAGCAGUGGGGAAUCUUCCGCAAUGGACGAAAGUCUGACGGAGCAACGCCGCGUGAGUGAUGACGGCCUUCGGGUUGUAAAGCUCUGUUAAUCGGGACGAAAGGCCAUCUUGCGAAUAGUGAGAAGGAUUGACGGUACCGGAAUAGAAAGCCACGGCUAACUACGUG
rnacentral:rRNA from 1 species